rnacentral:misc_RNA from 1 species
AACCAUAGAAACCUGCGGAGUACCUGCGGAAGGAUCAUUACAGAGUUGCAAAACUCCCUAAACCAUUGUGAACGUUACCUAAACCGUUGCUUCGGCGGGCGGCCCGGGUCCUUCCCGGCGCCCAUCGGCCCUCGCGGGCGCCCGCCGGAGGUAAACCAAACUAUUGCAUUGUAUGGCCUCUCUGAGUCUUCUGUACUGAAUAAGUCAAAACUUUUAACAACGGAUCUCAGAUAGGAAGAG